rnacentral:tRNA from 1 species
AAGAGCUUUAAAAACAUUACAUAAAAGACUGACUUUUAAUCAGUAGGUCCAGGGUUCGAAUCCCUGCGCUCUCACCA